rnacentral:rRNA from 1 species
GACGAACGCUGGCGGCGUGCUUAACACAUGCAAGUCGAACGGAAAGGCCCUGCUUUUGUGGGGUGCUCGAGUGGCGAACGGGUGAGUAACACGUGAGUAACCUGCCCUUGACUUUGGGAUAACUUCAGGAAACUGGGGCUAAUACCGGAUAGGAGCUCCUGCUGCAUGGUGGGGGUUGGAAAGUUUCGGCGGUUGGGGAUGGACUCGCGGCUUAUCAGCUUGUUGGUGGGGUAGUGGCUUACCAAGGCUUUGACGGGUAGCCGGCCUGAGAGGGUGACCGGCCACAUUGGGACUGAGAUAAAGCACAGACUCCUACGGGAGGCAGCGGUGGGGAAUAUUGCACAAUGGGCGGAAGCCUGAUGCAGCAACGCCGCGUGCGGGAUGACGGCCUUCGGGUUGUAAACCGCUUUCGCCUGUGACGAAGCGUGAGUGACGGUAAUGGGUAAAGAAGCACCGGCUAACUACGUG